rnacentral:misc_RNA from 1 species
GUCCUCAAUUGCAGUUUCAUGGGCUUGACUAUAAACAAGAUGAAGGGGAAGCAUUCCUGCUAGAUGUUCUGACACGGCAGCCAAAGCAGCUUUAACAGGCUUCCUUAAAUCCCACAGGAGAGACCGCCCAUUACACUGCAAAUGACUCUCCCAUGAUGGCUCUUCUGACUGCACCACAAUGACCAUAUCGGAAAGCGCUUUGGCUUGAUAAUGCUUGUCAACUAACAAGGGAUCACUAUGAAUAAACCAAAAGAUAGGGACUUCAAGGGUAGAUCUGCUAUGUGCAUGUGAACCUUUCAAAGAACCAUGAUCAUUCAAUCUCUGCAACUGAUGUUGGAGAAUGGAGGAAUCCAGAUAGGAACGAACCGUUUUCCUAUACGUUCCAUUCACAAGCAACAGGGGAACAGCUGCCGCUCUCCGGGCUACUGAAAACGCCAUAGCUAAAG